rnacentral:snRNA from 1 species
AUCGCUUCUUGGCCUUUUGGCUAAGAUCAAGUGUGGUAUCUGUUCGUAUCAGUUUAAUAAUCGUGGAUGAUGUUACAAGGAACACCUUCGUCCCUAUGGCUUUUUCAUAGUCUGAAAUAUUUCUUCAAGUGAAAUUCUCUGAUAUUUUGGGUCUGCUGGAAAGGUCU